rnacentral:lncRNA from 1 species
AAUGCAGUAUUUUUUGAAAGUGUUGUAUCGUCAUUGCUUCAAGUAUCUUCUAUCGCCCACUGGUCGGCAGGUUAGUAACUAAGAUGAAUCUGGGUAGAUAAAAAAGGAGACUUGUGAGCUUCUGUGAAUUUCUGUAUUCUUUGCUCGAACAUAACAGUUUAAAUGACACAACUGAUCAAAGAAUAUCAUGGUUGAUGAUAUCUGAUUGGGCACUAAUUUAUUCACGAAAUUGAUGACAUUUCAAAUAUAACAUUAAAAGAAAAAAUAAUUCAUAUUAUAGCUAGAUUUAUAUAUAUUAAUUAUUAUUUUUAAAGAAAGCAUAGAGCAUGUAACAAGUGUCUAAAAUUAAGAAAACAAAUAAUUUAAUCAUAAAAAAAGUAAAUUGAUUAUUCUGGUUGGGAGGGAUUAAGAUGGAGCAGUAUAUAGUGUUUGUUAAAAUGAGUUAGGUUAAUUCUAUACCCAUAUAGUCAAAGAUGUGAAAAAGCUGUAUAAUAAUUGAAAAAGAAAAAAAAUUCGAUAGAAAAUAAAAACUGGAGAAGUUACUAUUAUAGAAUGAAUGCAAUUUUACUUUGAUUGGUUGACAUAAAAGAAGAUACUCAUUGGACCUACCAACGUGGUAUUUAAAUAUGACAUGAAUUAUCAUUUUGUAAACAUUUGACAAUACUGUUAUGUAAAGUAUAUACAUGUAUAUACUAAUAAUAAAUGAGUAUUAAAAAUUUGAA